GACGAACGCUGGCGGCGUGCUUAACACAUGCAAGUCGAACGAGACGAUUUAGAAGCUUGCUUUUAUUGAGUCGAGUGGCAAACGGGUGAGUAACGCGUAGACAACCUGCCGCAAAGAUGGGGACAACAGUCCCGAAAGGACUGCUAAUACCGAAUGUUGUAUCUCCUCCGCAUGAAAGAGAUAUUAAAGAUGGCCUCUACUUGUAAGCUAUCGCUUUGCGAUGGGUCUGCGUCUGAUUAGCUAGUUGGUGGGGCAACGGGCCUACCAAGGCGACGAUCAGUAGCCGGUCUGAGAGGAUGAACGGCCACAUUGGAACUGAGACACGGUCCAGAUUCCACGGGAGGCCAGGCAGUGGGGAACUAUUGCACAAUGGGGGAAACCCUGAUGCAGCGACGCCGCGUGGAGGAAGAAGGGUCUUCGGAUUGUAAACUCCUGUUGUUGAGGAA
rnacentral:rRNA from 1 species